AUGGAUGGACCUUGCAACAAGGCUCUGCGCCGUGAGGCCGCCGCCUGCGUCUGCCAAGGAGAAGAUGAUCACCCCGACGCUGCUUCUUGCACCUCGCCCUCAGGGGCGUCCAGCGGGUCGUCGUCGUGCUCAUUGGCGUCGGAUCUGGGUGAUGGGUCGAGUUACUCCCCGCCCGAUGAUCAUUCCUCGGGGUCGUCUUCAGCGUCAUCGAGCACCUUGCAGCUGGACUCUGAGGCCGAGGGACCUCUCUACGAGCUGUCUUCGCUGCUAGCCCAGCUUCCUGCCAGGAGAGGGUUGUCCAAGUACUACCAAGGGAAGUCCCAAUCAUUCACAUCGAUAUCUUAUGCUACAUGUCUUCAAGACCUUGGAAAGGAAGUUACCUACAGCAAGAGGAUGAAGACAUGCAAGAGCUAUACAGCGGGAUCAGGCAUGAACCAGCGGUCAAAUCACUCACCGAGGACAUGCAACAAGAUGAUAGCCAAGAGGCCCUCAAAAAGUUCAUUUGCUUGUCAAAUGUCCAGAGCAAGCAGCACCAACCUCUUGUUCAGGAGUGCCAAUUUACCUGCACACCAGAACAAGGAAGAUGUACAAAUGCAUAUGAACUCUUAA
rnacentral:rRNA from 1 species